UACGAGGGGGGCAAGCGUUGUCCGGAAUCACUGGGCGUAAAGGGCGCGUAGGCGGCGCGGAAAGUCGUCGGUGAAAGCUCGGGGCUCAACCCUGAGUCUGCCGGUGAUACUCCCGCGCUCGAGCUCACUAGAGGCAGAUGGAAUUCCGGGUGUAGCGGUGGAAUGCGUAGAGAUCCGGAAGAACACCGGUGGCGAAGGCGGUCUGCUGGGGUGAGGCUGACGCUGAUGCGCGACAGCGUGGGGAGCAAACAGG
rnacentral:rRNA from 1 species